UACAAGUUGAAAACCAGCAGCCAGCUUCAAAUACAUUUUCUUCAUGCCCUCUCUGAAGUACUUCGUUUUUCCUGUGACACCUUAAUUCUGCCACGCUAUUCCAGCAUGCUGAGAAUAGACUUCUCAAUGCCCUGCGGCUCUCACGGGUAAGGUGGUGUUACUCUCAUUUCUGGGUAAGAAGAAACUCAAGCCACCCGUCAAUUGCUGGUGUAUUCAUUAGGGAUCGGCCACGUGUCCUGCAAUGAGUCUAGGCCUCCUCACAGGAGGAGAGUCAAGAUAAAAUAAGGAUAAUGUGCUAGAUGCAACUUACUACUUGGUUCCAAGGGAUGAAGUGCUGGCCGGGAACCAAAGGAAGGUCACUGUGUCUGGGGCACAGAGUGCAUAGGUUUUUCAUUGUUGUGAAUGGAGGGACCUUGGACACCUUAGUUACCUUCACUUGGCGUCAAUUUUCCAAUCUGUAAAAUGGCAACAAUGAUACUUCACCACAUCAGGUUGUUCUGAAGACUAAAUGAGCUCAAGCGCCUGAAACAUAGUAACUACUCAGCUAUUUUUAUAAUAAGUCCUUUAUUUCUCAGUUUGGGAGAGAGAUAGUCAACAGCUUUUUGCUACAUGUUGCCACUCCCUUAGAUGGUCAGGGCCCACGGUUAGGAGCCUCUUACAACUUUGAUUUUGGGGGUGGUGAGAACGAUCUUCCUGGGCACCACGUACUAAGGGCUCCCUGUCCACGGUGCCAGCUGAGCAAGGCGGGGUCAUUGUCUAGUUACCAUUUCAUGGUCAGCAGAUCUUUUUCGUCUUCCUUUCCCUCUACAAAGACAGAAUAACAGGCUUCCAGGUCCCUACGCCCCAAGGAAGAGACUGACCAGGAACCCAUGAAGGCUGGGUUCAAUGAGACAAGUACAUCCUUGCAACUAAAGGUGCAGGAAGUCAGCCAGGACUUCCAGGCGUGGAGCCUGGUCACUUCUGUCUUGUUCAUGGCUUAGAACAGCGCCUGGAACAUGGUAAACGGUUCAUAAAUGUUGGGGAGGAUAAACAGUCCCCUCUUGUGAAUGUCACACUGCCUGCUGUCCUCAGAGGCUCUGGCUUCCUGUGUCUCUUAGACUGUGAUGCCAUGAUGCCAACAGGUGAGGUCCAAACUCAGAGUGAGAGCACACAGCAGCCCUGCCUGGCCCUCCCCGUGUCCCCGGUCCUACCACAUUUCCUCUGCAUCACCUGUCCAGGCUUCUCAUCACUGAGUCUGCUGUUCCCCCUGUGCCCAGGGCUCUUCCCACCAUUGUCCCUAGCCCAGCCCUGUAAGGUGCAGGAAACCAGCCAACAGGACCCUGGCCCCAGCCACAUCUGGAUCUCCAACCUCAAUCUCCAUCUAUACCGGGGAAUGUGAAAUUACAGUCUGCAGGCCAGAUCUGGUCAGUGGUCGGUUUUUGUAAGGACCUUGGACUGAGAAUGGUGUUUACAUUUCCAAAGGGUUGAAAAUUUUAAAAAGAAUGCACAACAGAGACUAUAUGGCUGACGAAGCCCAAAACACUGACUCUCUGGUCCUUCAUGGAAAAGGCUUGCUGACUCCUGGCCCAGAUAGUCCUCUGAUACACUAGCCGGGAGGACGGACUGUGUGAACCAGGCCCCGUGUCAGGGCUUCAGGCUCGGAGUUAUUUCUUGCCACUUACCAACCCCGAGACAGGUGGGGUUCUCGUCCCUUGUAGAGAUGGAGGAAACUGAGGCAUAAGAGGUUAAUUCACUUGCCUGAGAAUCUAAAUAAAUGGCAGAGCCAGGAUUCAAACCCAGACAGGCAGAUUUUUAAAAAAAAAAUUUUUUUUAACGUUUAUUUAUUUUUGUGACAGACAGAGACAGAGCAUGAACAGGGGAGGAGCAGAGAGAGAGGGAGACACAGAACUUGAAACAGGCUCCAGGCUCUGAGCUGUCAGCACAAAGCCCGACGCGGGGCUCGAACUCACCGACCGUGAGAUCAUGACCUGAGCCGAAGUCGGACGCUUAACCGACCAAGCCACCCAGGCGCAGACAGGCAGAUUUUUCAAUCAUGGUGCCAUUUUUCUUCUGGACACUGCCUAGCACAAGCUUUAGGACUCGCCCAUACUCUGUCCCAUUCCGGACCCCUUGUCGCGGAGAUGAACUUCAGAAAACACCGCCCUCUGCCAGCAUGAGUUUCUGUCUUCCUCUGACCCACAGUCAGUGACCAGGUGUUUGGUACCCCUGCCUCCUCUCCCCUCCCGGCCACCCCCCAAGACAGUUCAUCUCCUGUGGGGCCGACAAGGCUGUGCUGCCUCUGUCUGCCCCACGCAGUGGCCUGGAACCCUAUUCUGUCCUGCUCCCUGAGUCCUGACGCUUUUCCAUGAGCUGGGCCUGAAGUUGUUCCCACUGAGUCUCUCUUCCUGGGGCAUCCCUGUGCCCUCUUGUCUCUGCUUCCUUCCACCCAUCUUGUCCCUCCCAUGAGGAACUGGAUCCAUGGCCUCGGGUCAAGAGUGCACACGUGGGAGGUGCAGUUAACUCCUGGUACCGGGCCUGGACCCUUUGUAGCCCAAGGACUGCGGCUGAGAUCCUCCCCUCCUGGGAGAAAGGGGAGAAGCUCCAGGGUUCAGAGUAACAUGGAGGACAGCCCAGAGGUGGUGUUGCAACCCAGGGGAAACAUUGCACUUCAGGGCUGUGCAGGUGGAGUGGUGCCUUGCGAUCAACAGUCUAAGCGCAGGGGCACAGGAGGGGUAAGAAUGGAAAGACAGCUGCCAAGAGGAACAGAGAGCUUCUCAAAUCACCCCCAGCCGGUCUCCUCCCCACAGCACCAGCCCGGCUUUGACAAAACCCGCCCUUCCGGUAGUAGUCCCUCCACCUUGGCUGGAAAUCACUGUGUGCAGAGUGAAGACAGAGGCCAUCUUCUAGUGUGACCGUGGACAGGUUACUUAGCGCUCUGUGCCUUACAUUCCUCUUUUUUUCAGAUGGUGAUGGUGGUAAGUACGUGGUAGGGUCUUAUUCAUAGAUCACAUGCUCCUGGCACUUAGUAGGUGCUGAGUGUGAGAAUGACUCCCCCGGGGGAUGCUGAAUUGUGAGCUCUUCCCAGGUCAUCCUGGGAAGGAUGCUCUCAAGAACGCUCUGCAAUUGAGGAUGUACGGGAGGCCCCUAGGUCAAGGCUGACAGGAGAGGCCUCUCAAGGGCCCGACCAACAUGCUGUGUUUCUCCUUCUGACGCUGAAGAGGCAGACUCUCUCCAGACUGGAGAGUCUCGCCAGCGUCUCAGACUUCUGAUUCCCCUGGCUUCGUAUCCACCUUUCUGUGGUCUUCUCCAUCCUUGUUAAUGACAACGCCAACUCUUCAGUCGCUCAGCCUUGGAGUCAGUUAACCUUGGUCUCCCCAUCACUCACCUGUCCUAUCCAGACCAUCAGCAAACCAUACCCAGAAUAUCAUGCCCUCUCACCACCCCAAAGCCCCUACCUGGGUCCCAGCCGCCGUCAUUUCUUGCCUGCAUUAGUACGACAGCCCUUGACGGGUCUCUGCGUCUGCCCUUUGCCCCUCUACAAUCUGUUCUCACAGCAACAGCCAGAGUCACCCUUAGAAAUCAAGCCGGGGCACAUGACCUUUCUGCUUCAAACCCCUCUGCAGGCUUCCCAUCCUGUCCAGAGUAAAAGCCACGGGCCUUGCAAUGGUCUGGGAGGCCCAUGUGAACCAGCCCCGCUACCCUGACCAUGCCCUCGUUCCUUCUGUCCUCUUCAUCCCACCUGCCAUCCUGCCCCUGCCCUCUCGCAGACACUUGAGCUCCACUCAACAGCUUUCGCUCUUGCUGGACUCCCUCAUCACCGCUCACUCCCUUAGUUCUUCCAGGCCUUUGUUCUGGCCUUCCACCUCAGCCAGGCCUCCCCUGGCCACUAUUUCACAUUCACCGUCGUACCCCCCCCCCACCACCACCACCACUCUGCAAGUCUCAUUCUUCUCUUUCCUGCCUUUAUUUUUCUCCGUUGUUCUUGGCACCUCGUACCGUGCCUCACGAUUGUGUGAGUUGAUCCAUUAGUGCCCCUUAUCUCGCUGGAGAUUCAAUUCCAGGGGGGCAGGGAUUUCUGUCUUAGCCCCCGCUGAGAACCCCACCUGUGACAUGGUAGCACUCUGUAAAUAUUUGUGGAAUGAAUGAAUGACCUUAGACCAAAGACAGCCGGCACAGAAAAUAAACCUCUAUUUCAAGCAAAAGCCCUUUGGUUUUAUAUAUAUAUAUGUGUAUAUAUAUGUAUAUAUAUAUACACACACAUACAUAUAUAUAUGUAAAUAUAUGUGUUUUAUAUAUUUAUAUAUGGCUGAAAGUUUCAAGCAUGUAUAUCAUAUAUAGACAUAGCAUGUAUAUCAAGAUAUAUAUAAAAAGUUCAUGUGUGUAUAUAUAUCUCUCAAAGACCAAAAUAUAUUUUAUAUAUAUAACCGAGGUGCCAUGUUUUUUGCAAAGGAGGACACUUUCUGGCUUCCCUGGCUGCCUGCCAAGAUGCACUCAAGCCGUGAUGUACAGUCAACGGGGCACUUUUCGCCUCUGGUUUUCCAGAGUGGAGAGCACAUCAUUGCCAGGAAGUUUCUGCCUCACUCUUAGUUCCCCAGGGUGGCCUGCCAGUCACCGGUGUGGUACCUCAGACAAUGGAGAUGCAGGGGCCGUGAUUCCCUGCCUGUAUGUCAAGGUCUUCGACGCCUACUUGUGCAUGAGCUGGAAGAGGCGUGCCCGUCUCAGAGCGUGCAGAGCUGGCGAAGUCCCCACGGUUUCUCUCCGUCUCCUGGACCCACUUUCCCCUCUUCACAGUGGCUUCUUUGUGUCCCCCAAGGGGCCAUCUCCUGCCCCUCCAGCUCAUCUCCAGCUCGUGGCUUUGCCGACUCCUCACCUACCUGUGCUGUUUUCUGUACUGCAUAGAACUGGGUCCUCCAGGAAGACAUAUUGGAGUCCUGACCCACAGCAACUGUGAGUGUGACCUUAUUUGGAAAUAGGGUCUGUGCGGACAUAAUCCAGUUUAGAUGAAGUCAUUCUGGAUCAAGAUGGCCUCCAAUCCAGCCAUGGUGUCUUUGUAAGAGAGAUGGACAGACGGGGAGAAGGCCGUGUGAAGGCAGGGGCAGACAUGGGUGGGGACGCUUCUGCAAGCCAUGUGGUGUGUAAGGUUGCUGGCCCACCACAAAGGCUAGAGGAGGCCAGGAAGGACCUUGCCUUUCAGGUGUCAGAGGGAGCAUGGCCCCAUGGACACCUCGAUUCAAGACCUUCAUCCUCCGGAACUGCAACAGAAUAAAGUUCUAUGGUUUUAAGCCUCCCAGUCUGUGGAGCUUUGGCCACCCCAGGAGACCCACACACUCCCCUCCA
rnacentral:lncRNA from 1 species